rnacentral:rRNA from 1 species
AGACCCGAAACCCGGUGAUCUAGCCAUGGGCAGGUUGAAGGUUGGGUAACACUAACUGGAGGACCGAACCGACUAAUGUUGAAAAAUUAGCGGAUGACCUGUGGCUGGGGGUGAAAGGCCAAUCAAACCGGGAGAUAGCUGGUUCUCCCCGAAAGCUAUUUAGGUAGCGCCUCGUGAAUUCAUCUCCGGGGGUAGAGCACUGUUUCGGCUAGGGGGCCAUCCCGGCUUACCAACCCGAUGCAAACUGCGAAUACCGGAGAAUGUUAUCACGGGAGACACACGGCGGGUGCUAACGUCCGUCGUGAAGAGGGAAACAACCCAGACCGCCAGCUAAGGUCCCAAAGUCAUGGUUAAGUGGGAAACGAUGUGGGAAGGCCCAGACAGCCAGGAUGUUGGCUUAGAAGCAGCCAUCAUUUAAAGAAAGCGUAAUAGCUCACUGGUCGAGUCGGCCUGCGCGGAAGAUGUAACGGGGCUAAACCAUGCACCGAAGCUGCGGCAGCGACGCUUAUGCGUUGUUGGGUAGGGGAGCGUUCUGUAAGCCUGCGAAGGUGGCCUGUGAGGGUUGCUGGAGGUAUCAGAAGUGCGAAUGCUGACAUAAGUAACGAUAAAGCGGGUGAAAAGCCCGCUCGCCGGAAGACCAAGGGUUCCUGUCCAACGUUAAUCGGGGCAGGGUGAGUCGACCCCUAAGGCGAGGCCGAAAGGCGUAGUCGAUGGGAAACGGGUUAAUAUUCCCGUACUUGGUGUUACUGCGAAGGGGGGACGGAGAAGGCUAUGUUGGCCGGGCGACGGUUGUCCCGGUUUAAGCGUGUAGGCUGGUUUUCCAGGCAAAUCCGGAAAAUCAAGGCUGAGGCGUGAUGACGAGGCACUACGGUGCUGAAGCAACAAAUGCCCUGCUUCCAGGAAAAGCCUCUAAGCAUCAGGUAACAUCAAAUCGUACCCCAAACCGACACAGGUGGUCAGGUAGAGAAUACCAAGGCGCUUGAGAGAACUCGGGUGAAGGAACUAGGCAAAAUGGUGCCGUAACUUCGGGAGAAGGCACGCUGACACGUAGGUGAAGUGAUUUACUCACGGAGCUGAAGUCAGUCGAAGAUACCAGCUGGCUGCAACUGUUUAUUAAAAACACAGCACUGUGCAAACACGAAAGUGGACGUAUACGGUGUGACGCCUGCCCGGUGCCGGAAGGUUAAUUGAUGGGGUCAGCGCAAGCGAAGCUCCUGAUCGAAGCCCCGGUAAACGGCGGCCGUAACUAUAACGGUCCUAAGGUAGCGAAAUUCCUUGUCGGGUAAGUUCCGACCUGCACGAAUGGCGUAAUGAUGGCCAGGCUGUCUCCACCCGAGACUCAGUGAAAUUGAACUCGCUGUGAAGAUGCAGUGUACCCGCGGCAAGACGGAAAGACCCCGUGAACCUUUACUAUAGCUUGACACUGAACAUUGAGCCUUGAUGUGUAG